rnacentral:misc_RNA from 1 species
AACGCAUCUUGCGCUCCUUGGUAUUCCGAGGAGCAUGCCUGUUUGAGGGUCAUUAUUAUCUCAACUCCUAUAGCUUUUUUUGUUAUGGACAGUUGGAUUUGGAGGAUUUGUGCAGGCAAAUUGGUCUGCUCCUCUGAAAUGCAUUGGCAGCAUUUGCGUGAAGGGGGGAGACCUGCUUUGGAUGUGAUAAUUAUCUGCAUUCAAUGGAACUUCACCUGGCUGAUAUUAAACGCUCAUUUGCUUGACCUCAAAUCAGGUAGGACUACCCGCUGAACUUAA